GUUAUAUGGUCAAGUGAAUAAGUGCACACGGUGGAUGCCUUGGCAGYUGGAGGCGAUGAAAGACGUAGKAGCCUGCGAWAAGGUUWGGGGAGYUGGCACACAAGCUUUGAUCCAAACAUUUCUGAAUGGGGAAACCCACUGAGCUUGCUCAGUAUCUUACACUGAAUACAUAGGUGUAAGAGGCGAACCCGGGGAACUGAAACAUCUAAGUACCCGGAGGAAAAGAAAUCAACCGAGAUUCCCUAAGUAGCGGCGAGCGAAAGGGGAUUAGCCGAGAAUAUAUGAAGUAGUGGAACGGUCUGGAAAGUCCGGCAAUAAAGGGUGAUAGCCCCGUACGCGAAGCUUCAUGUAUUCCAUAUUAAGUAGGUCGGGACACGUGUUAUCUUGACUGAAGAUAGGGGGACCAUCCUCUAAGGCUAAAUACUCCCAACUGACCGAUAGUGAACCAGUACCGUGAGGGAAAGGCGAAAAGAACCCCUGUGAGGGGAGUGAAAUAGAUCCUGAAACCGUGUGCAUACAAGCAGUAGGAGCUCUUCGGAGUGACUGCGUACCUUUUGUAUAAUGGGUCAGCGACUUAUUGUUAGUGGCUAGGUUAACCGUUUAGGGGAGCCGUAGAGAAAUCGAGUCUUAAUAGGGCGUCGAGUCGCUAGCAAUAGACCCGAAACCGGGCGAUCUAUCCAUGGGCAGGUUGAAGGUUAGGUAACACUGACUGGAGGACCGAACUCACUUAUGUUGAAAAAUGAGGAGAUGACCUGUGGAUCGGAGUGAAAGGCUAAUCAAGCCCGGAGAUAGCUGGUUCUCCCCGAAAACU
rnacentral:rRNA from 1 species